rnacentral:rRNA from 1 species
CAGGGGAGCUUGCUCCGCUGACGAGUGGCGAACGGGUGAGUAAUAUAUCGGAACAUACCCUAGAGUGGGGGAUAACGUAGCGAAAGUUACGCUAAUACCGCAUACGCACUAAGGUGGAAAGUGGGGGAUCUUCGGACCUCAUGCUCAUGGAGUGGCCGAUAUCUGAUUAGCUAGUUGGUGAGGUAAAGGCUCACCAAGGCGACGAUCAGUAGCUGGUCUGAGAGGACGACCAGCCACACUGGAACUGAGACACGGUCCAGACUCCUACGGGAGGCAGCAGUGGGGAAUUUUGGACAAUGGGCGCAAGCCUGAUCCAGCAAUGCCGCGUGAGUGAAGAAGGCCUUCGGGUUGUAAAGCUCUUUUGUCAGGGAAGAAACGGUGUUUCCUAAUACGGAAUACUAAUGACGGUACCUGAAGAAUAAGCACCGGCUAACUACGUGCCAGCAGCCGCGGUAAUACGUAGGGUGCAAGCGUUAAUCGGAAUUACUGGGCGUAAAGCGUGCGCAGGCGGUUAUAUAAGUCAGAUGUGAAAUCCCCGGGCUCAACCUGGGAACUGCAUUUGAGACUGUAUGGCUAGAGUGUGUCAGAGGGGGGUAGAAUUCCACGUGUAGCAGUGAAAUGCGUAGAUAUGUGGAGGAAUACCGAUGGCG